UACGUAGGGUGCGAGCGUUAAUCGGAAUUACUGGGCGUAAAGCGUGCGCAGGCGGUUCGUUGUGUCGGCGGUGAAAGCCCCGGGCUCAACCUGGGAAUGGCCGUUGAAACUGGCGAACUGGAGUGUGGCAGAGGGGGGUGGAAUUCCGCGUGUAGCAGUGAAAUGCGUAGAUAUUCGCAAGAACACCAGUGGCGAAGGCGGCUCACUGGCCCGAUACUGACGCUGAGGCACGAAAGCGUGGGGAGCAAACAGG
rnacentral:rRNA from 1 species